rnacentral:tRNA from 1 species
AGGGUUAUAGUUUAAUUAAAAUAUUUAGUUUGCAACUAAAAGAUACCUUAGUUACCCCUA